rnacentral:rRNA from 1 species
GACGAACGCUGGCGGCGUGCCUAAUACAUGCAAGUAGAACGCUGAAGGAGGAGAUUGCUUCUCUGGAUGAGUUGCGAACGGGUGAGUAACGCGUAGGUAACCUGCCUGGUAGCGGGGGAUAACUAUUGGAAACGAUAGCUAAUACCGCAUAAGAGUAGAUGUUGCAUGACAUUUGCUUAAAAGGUGCAAUUGCAUAACUACCAGAUGGACCUGCGUUGUAUUAGCUAGUUGGUGGGGUAACGGCUCACCAAGGCGACGAUACAUAGCCGACCUGAGAGGGGGAUCGGCCACACUGGGACUGAGACACGGCCCAGACUCCUACGGGAGGCAGCAGGAGGGAAUCUUCGGCAAUGGACGGAAGUCUGAACGAGCAACGCCGCGUGAGUGAAGAAGGGUUUCGGAUCGUAAAGAUCUGUUGUAAGAGAAGAACGAGUGUGAGAGUUGAAAGUUCACACUGUGACGGUAUCUUACCAGAAAGGGACGGCUAACUACGUG